rnacentral:piRNA from 1 species
UGACAGCACCCAAUACAAAGACCGG